rnacentral:rRNA from 1 species
AGAGUUUGAUCAUGGCUCAGAUUGAACGCUGGCGGUAUGCUUAACACAUGCAAGUCGAACGGUAACAGUCCCUCACCUAGAAAUUUCUUAAAAAGAGAUUUGUAGGUGAGGGAGCUGACGAGUGGCGGACGGGUGCGUAAUGUAUAGGAAUCUGCCUAGUAGUGGGGGACAACUCGGAGAAAUUCGAGCUAAUACCGCAUAAGCCCUCCGGGGGAAAACGGGGGAUCUUCGGACCUCGUGCUAUUAGAUGAGCCUAUAUUAGAUUAGCUUGUUGGUGAGGUAAUGGCUCACCAAGGCGACGAUCUAUAGCUGGUCUGAGAGGAUGAUCAGCCACACUGGGACUGAGACACGGCCCAGACUCCUACGGGAGGCAGCAGUGGGGAAUAUUGGACAAUGGGCGAAAGCCUGAUCCAGCAAUACCGCGUGUGUGAAGAAGGCCUGAGGGUUGUAAAGCACUUUCAAUUGGGAGGAAUACCUAAUAGUUAAUAGCUAUUAGAUUGAC